rnacentral:rRNA from 1 species
AACGAACGCUGGCGGCAUGCCUAACACAUGCAAGUCGAACGAGACCUUCGGGUCUAGUGGCGCACGGGUGCGUAACGCGUGGGAACCUGCCCUUAGGUUCGGAAUAACUCCCCGAAAGGGGUGCUAAUACCGGAUAAUGUCUUCGGACCAAGGAUUUAUCGCCUUUGGAUGGGCCCGCGUUGGCUUAGCUAGUUGGUAGGGUAAAAGCAUACCAAGGCGAGGAUCCAUAGCUGGUCUGAGAGGAUGAUCAGCCACACUGGGACUGAGACACGGCCCAGACUCCUACGGGAGGGAGCAGUGGGGAAUAUUAGACGCUGGGCGAUAGCCUGAUCCAGCAGUGCCGCGUGAGUGAUGAAGGCCUUAGGGUUGUAAAGCUCUUUUACCCGGGAUGAUAAUGACAGUACCGGGAGAAUAAGCUCCGGCUAACUCCGUG